UCAGGUGUGUCCCACGCUGUGAGACUGGGCAGGAAACGAAAUAAAGGGGAGAUGUUUGUUGGACUCAUGGGCAGAAGGAGUUUAGGAGACAUGGAAGAAGAAUUUAAAUCUGACUCUUACUGAGGACAAAAAAAGAAAAGAGAAUCACUCAUAACCCAAACUUUCAGUUAUAACGUCUUAUCCAGUCAUCCGUUGUUGACCAACGGGACACUGAGUACGAUGCACUU